rnacentral:snoRNA from 1 species
UUGCAACCAAUUAAGCUGAACAUGCGCUUUUACCCACGAGGACUUUGGCGGUCCAUGGCUGCGAGCAGCAGUCUCAGUGCCUGUAUGCAUUGCCUGUAUGGGUGGCUCUAAGGGGCCUGGGAGCUAGCC